rnacentral:rRNA from 1 species
AACGAACGCUGGCGGCAUGCCUAACACAUGCAAGUCGAACGAGACCUUCGGGUCUAGUGGCGCACGGGUGCGUAACGCGUGGGAACCUGCCCUUAGGUUCGGAAUAACUCCCCGAAAGGGGUGCUAAUACCGGAUAAUGUCUUCGGACCAAAGAUUUAUCGCCUUUGGGUGGGCCCGCGUUGGAUUAGCUAGUUGGUAGGGUAAAAGCCUACCAAGGCGACGAUCCAUAGCUGGUCUGAGAGGAUGAUCAGCCACACUGGGACUGAGACACGGCCCAGACUCCGACGGGAGGCAGCAGUGGGGAAUAUUGGACAAUGGGCGAAAGCCUGAUCCAGCAAUGCCGCGUGAGUGAUGAAGGCCUUAGGGUUGUAAAGCUCUUUUACCCGGGAUGAUAAUGACAGUACCGGGAGAAUAAGCUCCGGCUAACUCCGU